GCAAGACGGACAUAAGCCUUCUUCUCACCAUUGGGCCAGAUCAAUGGGUUGACCUUGGCCACAUCAAUAUCAUACAGUUUCUUGACAGCCUGCUUGAUCUGAUGUUUGUUGACCUUGACAUCUACAAUGAAGACCACAAGUCUGAACUCCAGACACCAUA